rnacentral:tRNA from 1 species
GUUUCUUUAGCUCAGAGGUUAGAGCGUGCGACUGAUAAUUAUCCGGUAGCUGGUUCAAGUCCAGCAAGAGCCACUA